rnacentral:rRNA from 1 species
UACGAAGGGGGCUAGCGUUGCUCGGAAUCACUGGGCGUAAAGCGCACGUAGGCGGGUCGUUAAGUCAGGGGUGAAAUCCUGGAGCUCAACUCCAGAACUGCCUUUGAUACUGAAGAUCUUGAGUUCGGGAGAGGUGAGUGGAACUGCGAGUGUAGAGGUGAAAUUCGUAGAUAUUCGCAAGAACACCAGUGGCGAAGGCGGCUCACUGGCCCGAUACUGACGCUGAGGCACGAAGGUCAGGGGAGCAAACGGG